ACUGAAUUGCGGGAAACAUAGUCUUGAUCCAUCACUGCAUACGCACUUACCGGCUGAAGUAACAAACCAUCGCAUGGCCACUUACCGGCUGGAUGCACGUGACAUUUCAAAAGAAAAGACAAAUGUAAACAGCAUCAACACCUUAUGGUUUAUAUCAUAAUUGUUCCGCUCCUAAUUGUGAUAGCUGCUCUCAGCUUUGUUCUUCAUAAGACAAUUUCAUCAACAAAAAAUGGCACACCAUUUCAACAAGCUGAACCUUUACAGCAAUGUGAAAAUGGGAGAGAGAAUGAGAGUUGAACCUUUACAGCAACGUGAAAAUAGGAGAGAGAAUGAGGAUGAAGAUGUCCGAAUUCUACCGGGUGAAAUUGGAUCAUGGUCAAGGCAAGAAUCAGAAGCAUCCUCUGUCUGAAAGCUUGAAAACUAGGAGCAUUUCUCUUCCUCAAAAAAAUCAUGCCUAAAACCUGAA